AGCCCAGCUGCACCCAGCACUACCCAGUCACAGGAGUCCUGCUGGCGAGCUGUGAGCCUGGAGUGAGGCCUCAGAGAGACCCAUGGUGUGUGUGGGAGUUGGACUAUCACAUCCUAAAGAAAGUGUGUGGGACCAGGAGGCCACAGUC
rnacentral:lncRNA from 1 species